UGAACAAUUCAAUGCAGUAGAUGCACACACUGCAGCAAUUCUGUUUCAUGAUUGUGUCAUGGAUGCUCUAGCAAGGAAGACUGUGAUUCUUGUGACUCAUCAAGUAGAAUUUCUGUCAGAAGUUGACAAAAUUCUGGUAAUGGAGAGCGGACAAGUUACUCAAUCCGGAAUCAUCGAUUUGUAUGGAACAAAAAUCUUUUGGAUGAACUUAUCGAGUUCAAGGGGGAUCCAGAAACAGAUUUCUACAAGUUCUAAAGCUCGUAAGCUUAUUGCACUUUCAUUCCUAAGGAUCAGUUUGGCAUACAUGGAGUUUAAGAGAAUUUAUGAUGGGACAUAUUUGACAAGGAACCAGAAGCAGCCUUGAUAUUGUGCUUCACUAGUUGAUUGGAUGGGGGCAAGGAUUGUUGCUGCAAUAUUAUGGCCUUUGCAUGUGUUGGGAACAAAACUAGUCUAUAGUAAAAUUCACUCUGCUAUUGGAAUAUCAAAGAUUGCCCACCUCAAAUUUAUAUUCCAGUUUUCCGCACCACAGAGUUAAAGAUCACAAGUUUUACUGAAGCCCAGAUCUCCAAAUGAAGAACCCUGGUUCUGCAUUUGAUAUUAUUUAUGAACACUGCAGAGUCAUGUUCCGUGGCAUUGGUGUUCUGAAGUUUGCUGCUUUGUUAGUUACUAUUCUAUGUAUGGACAUUUCAAGAAGCUGGAUGAAGAGAUUAAAAGGGGAGCUGCAUCUUUGG